rnacentral:rRNA from 1 species
AUCUUCCACAAUGGGCGAAAGCCUGAUGGAGCAACGCCGCGUGAGUGAAGAAGGUUGUCGGAUCGUAAAACUCUGUUGUAAGGGAAGAACAAGUACAGUAGUAACUGGCUGUACCUUGACGGUACCUUAUUAGAAAGCCACGGCUAACUACUUUCUGUGAGCCGCGGUAAUACGUAGGUGGCAAGCGUUGCCCGGAAUUAAUGGGAGUAAAGCGCGGGCAGGCGGUCCUUUAAGUCUGAAGUGAAAGCCCACGGCUCAACCGUGGAGGGUCAUUGGAAACUGGGGGACUUGAGUGCAGAAGAGGAAAGUGGAAAUCCAAGUGUAGCGGUGAAAUGCGUAGAGAUUUGGAGGAACACCAGUGGCGAAGGCGACUUUCUGGUCUGUAACUGACGCUGAGGCGAGAAAGCGUGGGGAGCAAACA